rnacentral:rRNA from 1 species
AUUGAACGCUGGCGGCAGGCCUCACACAUGCAAGUCGAGCGAGCGGCGGACGGGUGAGUAAUGUCUGGGAAACUGCCUGAUGGUGGUGGAUAACUACUGGAAACGGUAGCUAAUACCGCAUACCAUCAGAUGUGCCCAGAUGGGAUUAGCCAGUAGGUGGGGUAACGGCUCACCUGGGCGACGAUCCCUAGCUGGGCUGAGAGGAUGACCAGCCACACUGGAACUGAGACACGGUCCAGACGCCUACGGGAGGCAGCAGUGGGGAAUAUGGCACAAUGGGGGCAAGCCUGAUGCAGCCAUGCCGCGUGUGUGAAGAAGGCCUUCGGGUUGUAAAGCACUUUCAGCGGGGAGGCGUUACCCGCAGAAGAAGCACCGGCUAACUCCGUGACAGCAGCCGCGGUAAUUC